rnacentral:lncRNA from 1 species
GUGCCUGGGCCUCGGUGCCCAGCGCUGGGCUCGCCACCACCCGGCUGCAGGAGGAGGGCCAGGCUGGCCUCAGCAAGUCCACGCGUCUCUCUAGAGGGUCUGGCCCGUGUCAGGGAAGGGAGAGCCUUGGGGCAGCUGAGCGUGUUCUCCCGCCACCUGGGGUCUUCAGCACGUGCAGCUACACCCUCCCUGCUGCCAUUGUCCUGCCUCUGCGUUACGAGCCGCGCGCAGGGCCAGGCUGCCUGCCCAGUGCAGUCCUGCCAGCCGAGCUGGUGCGAGGCUGCAGUAUCAGACGUGCCCACAAGGUGUCACCAGAGGGCCCCUGAGAACCAGGGAGCCUGCGACCAGGACCUUGGUUCCUGCAGGCAGUCGCGUCCAGGCGCCGGGAGGGGCACGACCCGUCAGCAAGUCCGUCUCUGCAGGUCGUCCGUGUUAGAGGGAUUGGGGUUUUUAAAGUGUGGUUUUAAAAUCGAUUUUUAUUGGAUUCACCUGCUUUCCAGUCUUGUUUCUACCGUACAGCAAAGUGAGUCGGCUGUGUGCACAUGGCCUCUGUUUUGGACUCCCUUCCCGGUCAGGGUGCCGCGGAGCCCUCAGUAG